rnacentral:lncRNA from 1 species
UUUAAACCGGUUAAAAGAUUUAAUCUUCAACCUGUUUUCCAACCCACAUCAGAGUGGAGGGUAAACACUGAAUGGUCACAAGCCAGAAUGCAGGGUGGUGGGAGAAACAGACAGCACGGGAGGUCUGGGGUGCAUUGGGGGAAACCGAGGCCAGGAGCCUCAGCAGAAAUGGUCAGUCCCUAAGCAUGUGUGCUUUCCAGCCAUUCUUUAAUGGCUUCCCACCCCAGCUUCUCUCCAGUUUGUGAGGCUCCUGGCAAGGCUGGGGUUCUGUGUGGAGGUUUAAAAGCAAGGCGUUAGCCCUCCUUUUCAUCCAGUUCCAGCCCCUUGCUUGGGGUCUGCCUCAACGGACUCUAAGGCUACCCUUGGCAAGAGGUACUGACCUGGGUGGUGGGGAAAGACUUUCCUCUAACUGGAGAGGACCCCGGGGGUGUACUUGUGAAAUCAAAGAGAAAAGACAUUUGGGGUGGGGUCUUCAAACAUGGUCUGGAUCCCUUCUUUUCUUUGGGAUCCUACAGCUGCCUACACUCACAUUAUGAGGCAAGAUCAAAAGGAAUAUGGAGCGCUCUUGGCUGGGCCGCUGGGCUUUUGUUCUGUUCUGAAGAAUGUGUGGGGAUUUGGAAACCUCAGGUGGCCUCCGGUCUUUAGUUCAGAAAUAGCACCUAUGAAUAGCACUGCCAGAUAGGUCCAGUGGGUAUCAUCUUCCCGUAGAAACCUCCUCCAGAUGUCUCAGGAUGGAAGCCCAGGGACAAGGGAAGAGAUACCUCUGAGUGCAGUGACUGGCCCCUGGUUAGUCAGGGGAACAGUGGACAGGCUUGUCUGAGACUUGGCCUGG